GACGAACGCUGGCGGCGCGCCUAACACAUGCAAGUCGAACGGAGCUGAGAGAAGCUUGCUUUUCUUAGCUUAGUGGCGAACGGGUGAGUAACGUGUGAGUAACCUGCCCUGGAGUGGGGGACAACAGUUGGAAACGACUGCUAAUACCGCAUAAGCCCACGAUCCGGCAUCGGAUUGAGGGAAAAGGAUUUAUUCGCUUCAGGAUGGACUCGCGUCCAAUUAGCUAGUUGGUGAGGUAACGGCCCACCAAGGCGACGAUUGGUAGCCGGACUGAGAGGUUGAACGGCCACAUUGGGACUGAGACACGGCCCAGACUCCUACGGGAGGCAGCAGUGGGGGAUAUUGCACAAUGGGGGAAACCCUGAUGCAGCGACGCCGCGUGGAGGAAGAAGGUUUUCGGAUUGUAAACUCCUGUCGUUAGGGACGAUAAUGACGGUACCUAACAAGAAAGCACCGGCUAACUACGUG
rnacentral:rRNA from 1 species